ACACACACACACACACACACACACACACACACACACCGGCGUACUGGAACCUCUCUCGCGAUCCCGCACCCAGCUUGAAUUCAGCAAGAAUCGAAAACAGGGGCGGUUCGAAGAUGGCCGAAUAGGAACAGCUCCAGUCUGCAGCUCCCAGCUUGAGCGACACAGAAGACGGGUGAUUCCUGCAUUUCCAACUGAGUGAGCCGCACUCCUGGAACAAGCUUCCCUUGAAGUUCACCCUCUGAGCGCCACGGCCCCUCUCCAGCCUGCAUUCCACUGUAAGGUUGAGAAAUAUCUGAUUGUUAGUGAUGAGAGAGAAAACCUAGCCUCAUUCUCUGGUGGCCUGUCUUGCAAAAGAGAGAUGAAAUCAAACCUGGCUUCCUGAGAUUCCAAAUCACAAACAUCACAUACUAGUUUUUUUUUUUAAUAAAAUCAUGGGGCCAGAUGUGGUAGCUCACACCUGUAAUACCAGCACUUUGGGAGGCUGAGGCAGAACAAUCACUUGAGGCCAGGAGUUCAAGACCAGCCUGGAAAACAAAGGGAAACGCACUUCUACAAAAAAUUUAAAAAUUAGUCACAUGUGGUAGCAUGAACUUGUAGUUCCAGCUACUUGGGAGGCUGGGGCAGGAGGAUCGCUUGAGCCCAGGAGCUGGAGGCUACAAUGAGCCAGGAUUGCACUACUGCACUCCAGCCUGGGUGACAGAGGGAGACCUUGUCUAAAUAAAUAUCAUAGAAAGGUGGGGAACUCACUCAGAGUGUCCCACAUUGUCUUUUUCUUUCUUUUUUUCAAAAUUAAGAGACAGGGACAGCAAGGCGCGGUGACUCACUCCUGUGAUCCCAACACUUUGGGAGGCCGAGGUGGGUGGAUCACCUGAGCUCAGGAGUUCAAGAACAGCCUGGCCAACAUGGUGAGACCCUGUCUCUACUAAAAACACAAAAAUUAGCCAGGCAUGGUGGCACACACCUGUAAUCCCAGCUACUCAGGAGGCUGAGGCAGGAGAAUCGCUCGAACCCCGGAGGCAGAGAUUGCAGUGAGCCAAGAUUGUGCCACUGCGUUCCACCCUGGGAAACAAAGCAAGAUUCCAUCUCCAAAAAAAGAAAAAGAGAGAGAGAGAGAGAGCUAGGGUCUUACUAUAUUGCCCAGGGUGGAAUGCAGUGUCUACUCAGAGGCCCAGUCCCACUACUGAUUCUGCUCAUAUCUGACCUAAGCCAGUUCGCCCCUCCUUAAACAACGUGGUGGACCCCACUCCAGGAGGUCACCAUAUUGAUGCCAAACUUAGUUCAGACACCCAAUUGCUACAGCACACUACAGCUCAGAACUCCUGGGCUCAAGCAAUUGUUUUGCCUCAGCCUCUCAAGUAGCUGAGACCACAGGUGUGCACUAUUGAGCCUCACUUCCCUUAGCAUAUCUUUUUGAACAGCCUUUUCUUUAUAUUGAGAUACCUGAAAAGGGCUCUUUACAAAAUCCACUCGAAUUCCCUUCUCUCCUCUCUGCUGUCCUUUAUUAUUGAUGACAUUUUUGAUAAUUAUCUGAUUAUAGAAAAACUCCAAAAAGCCAGGAAGAAGUGCUGAUUUUUGUUUUGUUUUGAGAUGGAAUCUCACUCUGUCACUCAGGCUGGAGUGCGGUGGUGCAAUCUUGGCUCACUGCAACCUUCGCCUCCCAGGUUCAAGUGAUUCUCCCUGCCUCAGCCUCCCAAGUAGCUGGGAAUACAGGUGUCUGGCACCACACCCAGCUAAUUUUUGUAUUUUUAGUAUAGCUGGGUUUUCACCAUGUUGGCCAGACUGGUCUCGAACUCCUGACCUCAGGUGAUCCACCCGCCUUGGCCUCCCAAAGUGCUGGGAUUACAGGUGUGAGCCACUGCGCCCAUCCAAAGUGCUGUAUUAUUUCACUCAUCACUGCUAUUGGUUUCAGCAUAUGCAUACACAGGUGCCUGUAUUUUUGGCCUGACAUCUAUGCUCCAUUCUCUUUGGAUUUCAGGGAUACAUGACAAUUGUUCUAGUUCUUUUGCUGUAACUGAUGAAUACAAAAUAACCCCGUAGUAGAAUGUACCACCUGGAACAUCAAGAAAGUGAUUUUACAGGAUUUAGCAUUCCAUUUGGGGGCUGCAGAACCUGUCAUCAGAUAAUGGGAUUUGAAUGAUAAAUGAACUGUCUCAUGUCAAUCCCUUUGUGAAAAUUAGAGCUUUUAAAGUCUAGGUUUAGCUUGCUUAAACUGAGAAAUGGCCAGGCAAAUAGUCAUGUCAGUAGAAAUAUAACAUCUAAAAGUCAAGAUCUUUUUCCCUUCCUUUAGUUGUCAUUAUUUGUGAAAUUUCACACCAGAAGACAAUUGUGAUUUUUUUUGAACCAGAAAGAUUGUGAAAAUUAGCUCGUAUUAGACCUGUGAUGAAUCUUCAACUCUAGAAAAGAAAAAGAAAUGUGCUCUAAGAAGAAAUAAGAGGCCGGGUGCAGUGCCUCAAGCCUGUAUUCCCAACACUUUGGGAGGCCAAGGCAGGCGGAUCACUUGAGGUCAGGAGUUCGAGACCAGCCUGGCCAACAUGGCAAAACCCCGUCUCUACCAAAAAUACAAAUAUUAGCUGGGUGUGGUGAUGCAUAACUGUAAUCCCAACUACUCAGGAAGCUGAGGCAGGAGAAUCGCUUGAACCUGGGAGGCAGAGGUUUCAGUGAGCCGAGAUCGUGCCACUGCACUCCAGCCUGGGAGACAGAGCAAGACUCUGCCUUAAAAAUAAAUAAAUUAAAAGAAGAGAUUUAUAGGUAAACAAAAACAUGCAUUUUCUCUCUGUACUAUGUGCAUUCUUCCCCAAUCUUCCCUAAAGAAAAUAUCCCCUAGGAAGAAAGGUCUGAAACCUUGGAAAUUAUUUUUACUAGUCUUAGAAAUAUGUAUAACAAAUAUGCAAAAACAUGAACAAGCAAAGUAAUCCAAGCUAUUGAAAACCUAAUAAGAUCAGCUUACUCAUAUGCCUCCAAGACAGAAUGCUAUCAGCCCUCUGCAAUUUUAAGACCAAGACUCUGACUUCUGCCAGGUGCAAAACCCAUGGAGAGAAAUACUCUAUAGAUGAAGAAAGACUUGAGUUAGACCCUGAAGAGUAAGCAGAAUUUUCAUAUCUGUGAAUAGAACCCACGGCCUCUGAGACAGAGCAACCCCUGAUAAAGGAGACCAAAACAGAAGCACCCUGGGCAGGAUGUCUCAGGGAUGCUCAAAUUGUUGGGAAAGUUGGGGCAUGUGAAGGGGAAAAACAGGCAGGAAGAUAGAAAAGAUCGUCUCCCUUGGCUGAGAAGUUUGGACUCUAGUAUGUAGGCAAUAGAAACUCAUCAAAGGUUUCUAUGCAGAGCAGUGACAGGAUAAAGCAGGACUUUAUGAAAACUGAUCUUUCAGGAAAAGCUGGGAGGGACUGAAAUAGGAUGGAAACUGCAGGUAGAAAGACCACUCUCAAAGCUAUUAGAACAAUGCAGGCAAAAGACUGAACCAUGACCUUGGGCUCAGCUAUGUAAGUCAAGACUAGGUAUUGGACCACUGUUAUUUUCUAAUGUCAAAUCAAUGACUUUAGAUUGGAGGGAAUUUAGGAAUUGUUUUGCCAAAAAUUCACAAACCUGUGGCAAAAUCAGACUGGUGGUAAAGUGCACGUGUGUGUGUGUGUGUGUGUGUGUGUGUGUGUGUGUAUAAACAUGUAUACAAAUAUAUAUAUAAUUUUUUUAGUUUUCUGAAUUAGUUACCCAAGUUUUAAAAUUGGGAGAUUUCAGAUGAAAACCCCAGAUUUCUGGAUUUUUGAAAUUUGGCAUUGUCAUAUUGGGCUCAAAGCCUUCACCUGACCCUCACCCUGCAUAAUCCUCUUAAGCUUCAUUUAGUCCCAUUCCUGUCCUGCCAUUCAUACCCCAAUCUUAAAGAUGAAGACACUGAAACCCGAGGAAGGUAAGGAAUUUUCCCAAAGUUUCACUGACAGUUGUUGGCAAAGUCUGCAAGGAUGAUGUGACAUAAUGCCUGUCCCAUUCCUUACAGCAACUGGACAUAUAUGAUCUCUGUUCCUCAUAAGCCCUUAAGAGUAGACAUCAUUAUCCCCAUUUUGUAGAAGAGGAAACGGGUUGAAAGAUUAGGUAACUUCCCCAAAGCCACAUAGCUGGUCAGCGGUGGAGACAAUGUUCAAACCUAGAUCUUUCCAGGUCUUUCUUAUUACACAAUUAGUGUAAGAUUCUGAAACCGGACAAACCUGCUUAAAAUCGAGGCUGGUCAUUGACUGGCUGUGUGAUGGCAGGGAUGUUACUCAGCCUGUCUGAGCUUCACAUUUUUGGUUUUCAGACUGAAAUGAGCAUGUGUCUAACAGCAAUUAACACAUGUUAAUUAUUUUACAGUCACAGUUUGCUUUUUGAGAAAAAGCACUGUUAAUGGAUAUGAUCAGAUACUUUAUUUGUGUUGUUGGCUCUGAAAAUCUUUUUAAUCCCCAAAAAAUAAAAUCUAACCCCAAAGACAGUGUCAACCACUGAUACUAUUCUAAAGAUUGUGCCAUAAGAUCUAAACCUUUUUCCUAAAGAUUCCAAAAAAAUCAGAGGUAACAGUAGCAGUGUUGGCAGUAGAACUCUCACAUAAGAGACAGGGAUGGAGGCAUAUGCGCCCCAUGUCUCACUCCUCCUUCUACUUUCCUUGCCAGUGUUCCUGUUUGGCAAAACCAGCAACAUCUGGGCCCACACUACAAAAGGACCCAGAAAAUAUAGUUUAUAGCUUCCUAGCCCCUUUGAUACAGAAAAGCAUGCAAGAAAGGUGGACCAGUCAUCUGCAUCUGUCACAAAAUUGCCCUAAGAACCAGCUUGUCAGCCAUAGAAGAAAACUGUAUCUCAUUAUUUUAUGUUCACAUUUUGCUUUUUGAGAGAAAGCACUGUGAGUAGAUUUGAUCAGAUACUUUAUUUGUGUUGUUGGUUCUGAAAAUCUUUUUAAUCCCCAAAAAAUAAAAUCCAACCCCAAAGAUAGUGUCAACCACUGAUGGUAUUCUAAAGAUUGUGCCAUAAGAUCUGAACCUUCUUCCAAAAGAUUCCAAAAAAAUUGGGCUUAACAGUAGCAAUAUUGGAAGUAGCAUUUAGCAUCCUACUUUGAAAGGGACAGCGCUCAUUAGGAUAGAGACAUUCUAAAAUGUUUGCUUUUUAAUCAGCCCUAUUAGUCACAGACAUACCUCACUGGAGUUACCCUCCAGCUUCCUCCAAGGAAGAUAGCCAAACACCUGAUGGUGAGCAAAGCCAUUACCAUCUUGACUUCCUGCCAGAAUUCUUACCACCAUCAACCUUUCAAAACAGGUUGAUUAGUGGAUCUGGCAAACAAAAGCACUGUAAUUAUUCAAUACUUACACAGAAAUCCUCCCAUAAAACAAGUAUGCUUCAAAAAAUCAUAUUGUCUUAACAAUGACCAUGUUCCCCUUUGGUUGAAUUGGCCUCUUUUGUAAGAUUCUAAUUACCCAAAAUUAAGGGUUUUUGGGGGUUUUUGUUUGUUUUUGUUCUUUUGUUUUGUUUUACCAUGCUAGGACUGGGUAACUUUAUUCAAGACCUUGACAAAAUGAUCCCCAAAGUAAUAUAAAUGUAGACACUUUAAAAAGUCCAGAUGUGGAAGUGAGGAGCGCCUCUGCCCGGCCACCCAUCAUCUGGGAGGUGAGGAGCGCCUCUGCCCGGCUGCCCUGUCUGGGAAGUGAGGAGUGCCUCUGCCCGGCCACCCCAUCUGGGAAGUGAGGAGCACCUCUGCCCGGCCGCCCCCAUCUGGGAAGUGAGGAGCGCUUCUGCCCGGCCUCCCCGUCUGGGAAGUGAGGAGCGUCUCUGCCCAGCCGCCCAUCGUCUGGGAUGUGAGGAGCGCCUCUACCCGGCCGCCCCGUCUGGGAAGUGAGGAGCGUCUCUGCCCGGCCGCCCAUCGUCUGGGAGGUGAGGAGUGCCUCUGCCCGGCCACCCCGUCUGGGAAGUGAGGAGCACCUCUGCCUGGCCGCUGUGCAAUCUUCCAAGUGUGAAGUGACAGGCUUUCUGCAGGUGUACCCAACAGCUCCAAAGAGACAGCGACCAUUGAGAAGGGGCCAUGAUGACGAUGGUGGUUCUGUCAAAAAGAAAAGGGGGAAAUGUGGGGAAAAGAAAGAGAGAUCAGAUUGUUACUGUGUCUGUGUAGAAAGAAGUAGACAUAAGAGACUCCAUUUUGUUCUGUACUAAGAAAAAUUCUUCUGCCUUAGGAUGCUGUUAAUCUAUAACCUUACCCCCAACCCCGUGCUCUCUGAAACAUGUGCUGUGUCAACUCAGGGUUAAAUGGAUUAAGGGCAGUGCAAGAUGUGCUUUGUUAAACAGAUGCUUGAAGGCAGCAUGCUCGUUAAGAGUCAUCACCACUCCCUAAUCUCAAGUACCCAGGGACACAAACACUGCGGAAGGCCGCAGGGACCUCUGCCUAGGAAAACCAGAGACCUUUGUUCACAUGUUUAUCUGCUGACCUUCUCUCCACUAUUAUCCUAUGACCCUGCCACAUCCCCCUCUCCGAGAAACACCCAAGAAUGAUCAAUAAAUACUAAAAAAAAAAAAAAAAAAAAAGUCCAGAUGUGAAAUUUCAAGAAAACUUUGAAUUCAGUCCUAAGUCAAUAUUAAGUCAAAAGUUGAACCAAUUCUACAAAUCAUAAAUACUAUUUUCCUUCUUAAGUUCAUAUCUUUUCUGAGAUAGAUUACCAACUCAGUUUUCUUUGAUAUUGGUAUUUGGAAUAAUUUUAACAUGGUUUAACAUCUUUAAGUUCUAAAUCUAUACUUAUCUUGAAUAUCUUAUUAUAAUUAAAAAUAUAAAUCCAGAAGUGACAACUCUUCCUUACAGAAGAAUUCUAAUUAAUAAGUGUAGAAGGAUUCAGAGAAAUAGAAAAUCACCAUUAGAGCACCACAGUAGUAAUUGCCACAAGCAAGAUCUGCCAAUGGAUAGUAAAAUGAGUGAAAGUUUAAGCAGAAACAGGACAUUUGCAUAGUUUCAGGGUAUCUCCAGCAAAUAUUCAAUAAUUACAAGGAAAACAUAAUAAGUUUACAGUAGCGGAUCCUAGCAGACACCACCUUAGCAUAGUGAUCAAGGUUAACAACACCAGAAAUGCAUUACAACAUCAGGUAUCCCCUGUUAUGAUACACUGUCACAGACUGGAAGACACAACAUAGACAUGACAGUUAAAUGCAAGGCUGGGUCUUAGAACAGUAGAAGGACAUUAGUGAAAAGACUAAAUUCUCUACUUUUUAAACUUUAUACUGUAGUUAGUGUUAUAUCAAGGUUAAUUUCUUAAUUUUGACAAAUAUUCUAUUGUUAUGUAAGAUGUUAACAUAAGGGCAAGGUGGGUGCAGAAUAUACAAGAACUCUACUAUUUUUACAACUCUUCUGUAAGUCUAAAAUUAUCUCAAAAACUUAAAAAAUAACUGUUAAAAAACACACAUAUAUGUAUAUAUGUGCAUAACAUGUGUACAUAUAUAUAAUCAAGACUUCAUGGAAAUUGGCAUCUUGGGCACUUAGUCAGUAAAACAGUAGUGUUCUCUUCCGAAUUAUUCAUUGUCUUACUGGUAACUUAGCUUUAAGGUCCUCCCCCUUCUAGACUUUUAAUCUCAAGUAUAAAUUUCUAAUUUUCAUAGAAAAGCCUUUUUAAAAAACAUUCCUGUAUUAGGCCAAAAAUAAAAUCCUAGAAUAAAACUAUCACCAUAUUAUCUUAUAAAAUUACUCAUCCCAACCAUAAGACCCAGCCAGUAUUUUUACUGCAUUUCCUCUCCUCAUCUAAUAUGUUUGUGUUGGUUUGGUUUGGUUUAUGAGUGGAUACAGCUAAUAGAUUUAGUAUUUAAUCAUAGGCCUGACAGUCUAGGGGAAAACAAUUAUCACUUGGGUAUCUUAUGAAGAAACAGCUGUUUUUCCAAGAACCAAUAUUGUGUACUCACCUGAGACAUAAAAAGUUAUUUACCAAAGUCUCUUCUAUCUAACAGCAUAGAGCUACCCAAGCAAGGCCAACAAAGACUCUUUCAAUAUCCUUUUCUUAAAUUAGGCUCUAAAAUGACUGUUGAUAAUGGUAAUAAAUGUCUUUUUAUUAAAAAGGCAAUUUUAUCUUAUGCAAUUCAGGGAAGUAAAGAUAAACACAAAAUCUACCUUUAAAUGAAGAAAAUAAUAAUUUCCCCCUCUAACUAUGGCUGAUUCAUUCCCUGAGCAUGAAUCCCCUUUUACCCUCAUUGUUUUUAACUAUAAACUGAGCUGAAAUCUGCUCAUAGAUGAAACUAAUAUUUUAGAUGGAGUAUGACAUUACCAAGUAAUAUUUUUUACUUUUUGUAGUCAUCAUUUCUACUCGCUGUGGCAUUUAAUGUUUCAUCUGUAUCUCUCUAUCACAAUGCCCUCUAUAGAAGCAGCAAUAGUGAAAACAUAAUUACACUUUGGGGAAAAAAAAAUAGGUAAUUUUUAAGUAGAUCUUUAUCCAAAUACAAUAAAAAAGCAAAAAAGAAAAAUGUCCGUAAACAUUUUCAUUUUAUGUCAAUGCCAUUUCCAAAUUCACCUUCCACUACUACAAUGAACAGCAGAAGUGGUAUAAAAAAAAACCUCUAACCUAAUGAUCUAUACAAAAAGGGAGACAAUUUACUCUCUACACAUUGCAGUAUAUUCAAGUGGUGAAAAGAUAUAAAUUCUUUCAGAACUGCCAUAUUCUCUGGCUGUCAAUAUAGUCUCCUGAAUAAUUAUAUUAAACAUAUUACUACAAAAGGUACCAAGAAGUAGCGAAUAACACUAUAUUUUUGAACUGCAAAUAAUAAAACAAAACAGAAGUCCAAGAAGGCUAAAGUCUAAGCUGUAAUUACACAUGAAGUGUAUGUUGAAAGCAGUCACAAUGUACGAAAAUGUGACAAGAUAUCCAGAUGUUUAAAAAAACACAUCCUGUUUGUCUCAGAUUAUAUCUAGUUUCAUCUUGUAGGUUUCUGAUAAGCCUGUUAUGUAAAGUGUGUUUCCCUCCUGCUGAUAAGAAGCAGCUUGCAGAUAUCCAUAAAUUUUUUAAGGAGUGAGUCUACUCGGCAAUAUUGGUAACUCCAUAGUUUCCUAUUACAUUCAUUCGUCUGAAAACUGAAAACAACUCAUGACUGAAAUAUUCUUCCAUUCCUUUGCCAGUUUUCAAGUUUAAAAUCAAAGGAAAGUUGAAUGUAUUGCUUCUUGUAAUCAACAGGC
rnacentral:lncRNA from 1 species